rnacentral:rRNA from 1 species
AUUGAACGCUGGCGGCAGGCCUAACACAUGCAAGUCGAGCGGAGCGGCGGACGGGUGAGUAAUGCCUCGGAAUCUGCCUGGUCGUGGGGGAUAACGUCCGGAAACGGGCGCUAAUCCCGCAUACUAUCAGAUGAGCCUAGGUCGGCUUAGCUAGUUCGUUGGGUAAAGGCCUACAAGGGCGACGAUCCGUAACUGGUCUGAGAGGCUGAUCAGGCACACUGGAACUGAGACACGGUCCAGAGUCCUACGGGAGGCAGCAGUGGGGAAUAUUGGACAAUGGGCGAAAGCCUGAUCCAGCCAUGCCGCGUGUGUGAAGAAGGUCUUCGGAUUGUAAAGCACUUUAAGUUGGGAGGCGUUACCAACAGAAUAAGCACCGGCUAACUUCGUGCCAGCAGCCGCGGUAAUUC